CCACAUUCGACACAUGUAGAUAACCAUAGGUGGCUUGACAUGUAACUGUUCAUGCGUGUUUGGAGGACUGAGAGGGUUGAAUUCAGGCCAGAACAAUCAGUGACAGAGUUAUACCUAUUUAUGAGACCUUCUUCAGUGUCGGAGAAGCAAUAAAGCCAUUUAUUUGAGAGGUGGGAAAGUAAUCAGUUCCUAAUUUGUUUUAAGCAACAAGAACCUUUUAUGUGUUACUUGUUUCAAUGCCAAGUUUGCCUUAGUGCAUUGUAUAACUAUGCAGGUUUCCUUUGUAUGUUGCUUAAUAAUAUAUCCUGAGAUACUGCUGUCAAAAUGUAUAUGGUUAUAUUUUCCUGUCUUUAUGAAAUGGAUAGCAGUGCUAGUUCAGGGAAUGUAAAAACAUUCAUUUAACUGCCAAUCUACAAUGUUUGUGAACUAUUCUCAACUCAACA